AUACUUACCUGGCAGGGAAGAUACCAUGAUCAUGAAGGUGGUUUUCCCAGGGCAAGGCUUAUCCAUUGCACUCCGGAUGUGCUGACCCCCAUGAUUUCCCCCAAUGUGGAAAACGCUACUGCACAAUUUGCGGUAGUGAGGGACUGAAUUUGUGCUCUUCCCUGU
rnacentral:snRNA from 1 species